UCCGUAGGUGAACCUGCGGAAGGAUCAUUACCGAGUGAGGGCCCUCUGGGUCCAACCUCCCACCCGUGUUUAUUUUACCUUGUUGCUUCGGCGGGCCCGCCUUAACUGGCCGCCGGGGGGCUUACGCCCCCGGGCCCGCGCCCGCCGAAGACACCCUCGAACUCUGUCUGAAGAUUGAAGUCUGAGUGAAAAUAUAAAUUAUUUAAAACUUUCAACAACGGAUCUCUUGGUUCCGGCAUCGAUGAAGAACGCAGCGAAAUGCGAUACGUAAUGUGAAUUGCAAAUUCAGUGAAUCAUCGAGUCUUUGAACGCACAUUGCGCCCCCUGGUAUUCCGGGGGGCAUGCCUGUCCGAGCGUCAUUGCUGCCCUCAAGCCCGGCUUGUGUGUUGGGCCCCGUCCCCCGAUCUCCGGGGGACGGGCCCGAAAGGCAGCGGCGGCACCGCGUCCGGUCCUCGAGCGUAUGGGGCUUUGUCACCCGCCCUGUAGGCCCGGCCGGCGCUUGCCGAUCAACCCAAAUUUUUAUCCAGGUUGACCUCGGAUCAGGUAGGGAUACCCGCUGAACUUAAGCAUAUCAAUAAGCGGAGGA
rnacentral:rRNA from 1 species